UUUAACAUAUGAGGUUGACUUGACAGAAAAUGUUUUAAAAGUUUCCUGAUAUGCGUGAUUUGUACUUUACAUUUUUUGGGGUUUGGAAGAUAUCAUAAGUUGUUACUUGAUAACAAAUAUUUGAAGCAGAUUCUGAUGCCUUGAUUUUAAAGAUCUACUGUUCGUUUUUAUUUGAUUCAAGUCCAGUCGCUUUAAUACACGUUUAGUAAAGAUCCUUGUCCAGUCAAUGUGAUCCUUGUCCAGUCAAUGUGAUCCAGUCAAUGUGAUCCUUGUCCAGUCAAUGUGAUCCUUGUCCAGUCAAUGUGAUCCUUGUCCAGUCAAUGUGAUCCUUGUCCAGUCAAUGUGAUCCUUGUCCAUGCAGUCAAUGUGAUCCUUGUCCAUGCAGUCAAUGUGAUCCUUGUCCAGUCAAUGUGAUACUUGUCCAGUCAAUGAGAUCCUUGUCCAGUCAAUGUGAUCCUUGUCCAGUCAAGUUAUUAUAGAUCUGGGAAAGUGCAAUACAUGUUCUGGUGUUUGAUGGAAAGAGUCACAUCCUGCUUGUAGAAUACAUUUGUACCUCAUUCAGGCUAUAAUGGAAAGUUGGAAUGAGAAACUUACUACAGCUGCUGGGAAUAGAGAUAUAGAAGCCUUAAAAUUAUGUCUACAGAAUGGUGCAGACAUUGAUUAUCAAGAUUAAAUGUAAUUUCUAUGUUAUACUUACAGAAACUUACUACAGCUGCUGUGAAGGGAGAUA